rnacentral:rRNA from 1 species
GAUGAACGCUGGCGGCGUGCCUAAUACAUGCAAGUCGAGCGAACGGACGAGAAGCUUGCUUCUCUGAUGUUAGCGGCGGACGGGUGAGUAACACGUGGAUAACCUACCUAUAAUACUGGGAUAACUUCGGGAAACCGUAGCUAAUACCGGAGAAUAUUUUGAACCGCAUGGUUCAAGAGUGAAAGACGGUCUUGCUGUCACUUAUAGAUGGAUCCGCGCUGCAUUAGCUAGUUGGUAAGGUAACGGCUUACCAAGGCAACGAUGCAUAGCCGACGUGAGAGAGUGAUCGGCCACACUGGAGCUGAGACAGGGACAAGACUACUACGGGAGGCAGCAGUAGGGAAUCUUCCGCAGUGGGCGAAAGCCUGACGGAGCGACGGCGCGUGAGUGAUGAAGGUCUUCGGAUCGUAAAACUCUGUUAUUGGUGAAGAACAUAUGUGUAAGUAACUGAGCACAUCUUGACGGUACCUAAUCAGAAAGCCACGGCUAACUACGUG